GAGCGGAGAAGAGUGUGCUUGCACCUUAUACUUAGCGGCGGACGGGUGAGUAAUGCUUAGGAAUCUGCCUAUUAGUGGGGGACAACAUUCCGAAAGGGAUGCUAAUACCGCAUACGUCCUACGGGAGAAAGCAGGGGAUCUUCGGACCUUGCGCUAAUAGAUGAGCCUAAGUCGGAUUAGCUAGUUGGUGGGGUAAAGGCCUACCAAGGCGACGAUCUGUAGCGGGUCUGAGAGGAUGAUCCGCCACACUGGGACUGAGACACGGCCCAGACUCCUACGGGAGGCAGCAGUGGGGAAUAUUGGACAAUGGGGGGAACCCUGAUCCAGCCAUGCCGCGUGUGUGAAGAAGGCCUUAUGGUUGUAAAGCACUUUAAGCGAGGAGGAGGCUACUGAGACUAAUACUCUUGGAUAGUGGACGUUACUCGCAGAAUAAGCACCGGCUAACUCUGUGCCAGCAGCCGCGGUAAUACAGAGGGUGCGAGCGUUAAUCGGAUUUACUGGGCGUAAAGCGUGCGUAGGCGGCUUUUUAAGUCGGAUGUGAAAUCCCCGAGCUUAACUUGGGAAUUGCAUUCGAUACUGGGAAGCUAGAGUAUGGGAGAGGAUGGUAGAAUUCCAGGUGUAGCGGUGAAAUGCGUAGAGAUCUGGAGGAAUACCGAUGGCGAAGGCAGCCAUCUGGCCUAAUACUGACGCUGAGGUACGAAAGCAUGGGGAGCAAACAGGAUUAGAUACCCUGGUAGUCCAUGCCGUAAACGAUGUCUACUAGCCGUUGGGGCCUUUGAGGCUUUAGUGGCGCAGCUAACGCGAUAAGUAGACCGCCUGGGGAGUACGGUCGCAAGACUAAAACUCAAAUGAAUUGACGGGGGCCCGCACAAGCGGUGGAGCAUGUGGUUUAAUUCGAUGCAACGCGAAGAACCUUACCUGGCCUUGACAUACUAGAAACUUUCCAGAGAAGGAAUUGGUGCCUUCGGGAAUCUA
rnacentral:rRNA from 1 species